rnacentral:rRNA from 1 species
UCAGCUCGUGCCGUGAGGUGUCGGUUAGUACCCAUAACGAGCGCAACCUUACCGUUAGUUACCAUCAGGUUAAGCUGGGGACUCGUAGCGGGACUGCCACCGUAAGGUGAGAGGAAGGUGGGGAUGACGUCAAAUCAGCACGGCCCUUAUGUCCAGGGCUACACACGUGUUACAAUGGCCGGUACAAAGGGCAGCUACCGGGUGACCGGAUGCUAAUCUCUAAAGCUGGUCUCAGUUCGGAUCGAAGUCUGCAACCCGACUUCGUGAAGCUGGAUUCGCUAGUAAUCGCGCAUCAGCCAUGGCGCGGUGAAUACGUUCCCGGGCCUU